UACGGAGGGUGCGAGCGUUGUCCGGAAUCACUGGGCGUAAAGGGCGCGUAGGCGGCGCGGGAAGUCAACGGUGAAAGCUUGGGGCUCAACUCCGAGUCGGCCGUCGAUACUCCCGUGCUCGAGCACUGUAGAGGCAGAUGGAAUUCCGGGUGUAGCGGUGGAAUGCGUAGAGAUCCGGAAGAACACCGGUGGCGAAGGCGGUCUGCUGGGCAGUUGCUGACGCUGAUGCGCGACAGCGUGGGGAGCAAACAGG
rnacentral:rRNA from 2 species